GAACUGCAACCGCUUGAUGGCGCACAACUAUAAAUGAAAGCUCGCGAGGAAGCGUUUCUCUAUCCGGGUUAGCGGAACUGAACCCGGUCUCUCUUCCGGUCUACGCAGUUGUUGUGAGCGGUUGAGGAGAUCCUUCUGUAUAACUAUGAGGGCUAAGUGGCGGAAGAAGCGCAUGCGCAGGCUGAAGCGCAAGAGGAGAAAGAUGAGGCAGAGGUCCAAGUAAACCUGCUGCACUGCACCCGCUGCUCCAGAUGAAAGACCUGAACUGUCCAAUGGAGUGAGCCCAGGAGACCACCAGUUUGCAAGAAGUCUUGGUCCUUGACCUUCUGCAGUUCGUCUUGCACUUUGUAGUACCCCUCCCCUUUUUUUUUUUUU